GACGAACGCUGGCGGCGUGCCUAAUACAUGCAAGUCGAGCGCAGGAAAUCAUCCGAACCCUUCGGGGGGACGUUGAUGGAAUGAGCGGCGGACGGGUGAGUAACACGUAAAGAACCUGCCCUUAGGUCUGGGAUAACCACGAGAAAUCGGGGCUAAUACCGGAUGGGUCAUCGGACCGCAUGGUCCGAGGAUGAAAGGCGCUUCGGCGUCGCCUGGGGAUGGCUUUGCGGUGCAUUAGCUAGUUGGUGGGGUAAUGGCCCACCAAGGCGACGGUGCAUAGCCGACCUGAGAGGGUGAUCGGCCACACUGGGACUGAGACACGGCCCAGACUCCUACGGGAGGCAGCAGUAGGGAAUCUUCCACAAUGGACGAAAGUCUGAUGGAGCAACGCCGCGUGAACGAUGAAGGCCUUCGGGUCGUAAAGUUCUGUUGUAAGGGAAGAACAAGUGCCGCAGGCAAUGGCGGCACCUUGACCGUACCUUGCGAGAAAGCCACGGCUAACUACGUGCCAGCAGCCGCAGUAAGAC
rnacentral:rRNA from 1 species